UACGUAGGGUGCAAGCGUUGUCCGGAAUUAUUGGGCGUAAAGAGCUCGUAGGUGGCCUGUCGCGUCGGCUGUGAAAACUCGGGGCUCAACUCCGAGCUUGCAGUCGAUACGGGCAGGCUAGAGUUCGGUAGGGGAGUCUGGAAUUCCUGGUGUAGCGGUGAAAUGCGCAGAUAUCAGGAGGAACACCGGUGGCGAAGGCGGGACUCUGGGCCGGAUACUGACGCUGAGGAGCGAAAGCGUGGGGAGCGAACGG
rnacentral:rRNA from 1 species